rnacentral:piRNA from 1 species
UCCCACUGAUUGAUGCUUAGUAUUCCUAGA